GAUAACGUUACUUUAUCCAAAAACCAUUUGUCUGUCACCUUCUGCCGGAGACUGUCCCCAUCAUCACGUCAGUUUGAGGGACCUUUUGCAGCAAGAAAAUACGCUGGAAAGCAUACAAUGCCCGAAAAGACCAAAACGAAUUCAACUGUAGGCCUAUAGAAGCCGUCGCAGACACCUUCGUCUUCUGGGCAAGUAGCUCGAGACAAGAACAACGUGGUGACAAUUUCAGUGCACGCGAAGCCUGAAUCUGAAUUGAACGCGAUUACAGGUGUACACUUUUUUUGUAUGCGGAACAAUGAUGGCAAAAGAAACUCCGCUAGUAAAGACUAAUUGAGUAUUUAGUUGUUGUUUUUACCAAACCCCCGCCCCCCCCCCAAAAAAAUAUAUUUAUAUAUAUAUUUAUUUUACGUAGGUACUGUACAAUACGUUAAUUCCUAGUUGUGUCUAUAGUGGCAGUAGGUGUCGCUAUUGCCGCACCGCCAACUGAUGGGCAGGCCAAUGCGGAGCUUGUUCGGUAUCUCUCCAAGGUGCUGGCGUUGAAGAGAAGCGAAGUCGUUGUGGACAAGGUUUGAGAGCUGUGAAUGGACAUCUCUGGAUUCUUUAUGAUGCAUGUUUAUAUACUGUGUUGCCAAUAACAGAUCAGUUUCAGGAAUUUAAACUAAAAUGUUUCAUCAUGUCCUUAUGCCUCUCUGCAGGGCUCAAGAUACUGAGAAUAUUGUCACGAGGACACUAACUCCAGAGCAGGGGUUGGACAGGUUAAAGCAGGAGGCUUUUUGAAUGUUAAUUACACCCAUAACAGAGGCUUCUCUAUGACACCAUGGAUGACUUUUUAGUUCAGGUCCUAUACACCUUUACAGUAUUGGUUGAUUUUCAGACAUCUAUGGAAACAGCUCAGAUAAGAUAGUAGCCUACUCUAUUAAUCCCCAAAGGGGACAUUUGUUUGCAUCAGCUGAUGCACACACCAAUGAAUGCACAAUUUGUGACAUGCACUAUAGUUAGGCAUUCUACAAGGAUUUGAACUGUAUAGGCGUGUGAAAUAUUUUUUUCCCCAAACUGUUGAAAGAACCCUUGUUUAUUGAGGCUUCCUCAGAAAUAAUUUGCUUUCUUAUCAUCUGUGACAUUGUUUUUUUAAUGUAAAAUCACAAUGAGUCUUGCCUCAGGCAUGGCUACUGAUAUGAUUGUUAUUGAUGUAUUAUGUUCAUAAUGAAAAACUUCACCCAAGUUCCCACCCUUUCAGGCUAUCUACCUUCACCUCAUGAGGUAUCUGAGGUAUAUUUUUUAGCAAAUAUCUUAGAUCAUUUAGCCUUUUUUUCAUGCUUUUGUUGCCCCUAAAACGUGUGUUAUGUUUAUUUUCUUGUACAGCAUGUGGGUAUUUAUUUCUGUAUCGAAUUGCUGUAGUUGAGGUAAAUGAAAUUAGAUAUUUGGCAAUAGAAAUAAAAAUGUCAAUGACGUCUGUGACUCCACCGGCCCUGUGGUGUGACAGCGGGACAAGGCUAUUGGCCUGAAACCUGUGCUUUUUAUCAUGCUGUGUAGAUGAAUGUUUGCUUCCCAGCAGGAAUUACUCCAAAAGUAGCCUUUAUUUUGAAUGACACUUCAACCAUUACUAAUGUAAAUGGAACUUAGCCUAACAUAAAAUAUGCAAUACAUUUUUCCAAAAUGUCCUUUUAUGUAUGCAGCUGGCUACCAAAAAUUGCAGCUGGUUACCAAAAAAAGUGGCAGGAUGACCGCUUUAUUGCUUUUUGGUUCCCAGAUUGCCCCUGUCAUUUUUAUAAUCUGAUUGCAUAUCCCCAUUACAGGUAAUCCGUUACUACCCAACCUGCUCAGCUCCAAAGGACCCAAGUAAGGGCCUCCAGCCAUGUGGGAAGCGGAGCAGCUUGCCCACGUGCAGAUACUCCAUACCCAGGGUCUUCCUCAUCAUGCUGGCCUCCACUGUGUUUAACACGUCCCAUCAAUCUUCUCCCUCUCAAAGGCCUGGCAGUACUUGCCCUAUUUCAGCUGUCGCAGGCUGGAGCAUACCAGUGCCAUACUCAGGACCCGUAGAUUAGAGGGCACCUCUGCCAAGGAGCAGAAGAGUGGGUGCCAUGAGCCGCCAGAGUAGAACUGGGAAUUGUUCUCCAAUGAUGGAGAAAGGGGUGGAAGUUUGUGUCUAGCUAUUUGUAAAUAUUGUGGUUUAGGGGGUAGAGGUGGGGGUCUUUCUACUUUUCUCUGUAAAGUAGGAGGCUCGUUGUCUCAAAGACAAGGUGCUGGUAGAGGUUGAUUUCAUCACCCUGGAUCUUCAGGCUCAUGUACAUGUAGAUUUGGCUUCCCCUCCAUUUAUUUGUGACUGUUUUCAAUCAACUCUAAUUGAAAACGGUGAUAUCUGCAGAGGCAGACCAGGUUUUAGUUAUUUUAAACAUUCACAUCUGUCAUUUGCCAAUUAGGAUAUUUAUGUGCUACAACAUCACUAAAAGGAAUGGUGAGGUCACAAACAAUGUAUGUUCUGAUACCACACUACAGGAGUCCCACAGGGAUUUGUACUUGGUCCCCUCCAUAUUUAAUUUCUGAUUUCUCAAAUGCAAGGAGACAGACUCCUAUGCAGCAUCCUGCAUACAUUCUUGCCUCAUUAAUACUGUGUGUUGGCUAAAUGGCAAACACAAUUUCUCUAAAACUGAGUAAACCAGUUUAGUCCCUGGCUCUUCAACUGUGCCACACUCACACCGAACCUAAAUAGAAGUCUUCUUGUACAUUAUAUGGGAAAUCAGAUUUUUUUUUUUUCAAGAGGACCGAGUACAAAUCCCUGAGGGACUCCUCUGGGUCUGCUGUAGUGUGGUGUACUGAUGCUAUUGCUGAUCCACACUUAGUAAAUUGUCACCCACCAUCACGUUCUAAGGUGAGGUAUGUGGUCACUCAGGUGUAAUGUAACAAUAUUUUGUCUCCAACCCGUCUGUCAGUGCAAUACGCACCUCCUUCAUAUACAGUGGGGCAAAAAAGUAUUUAGUCAGCCACCAAUUGUGCAAGUUCUCCCACUUAAAAAGAUGAGAGAGGCCUGUCAUUUUCAUCAUAGGUACACUUCAACUAUGACAGACAAAAGUAGAAAAAAAAUCCAGAAAAUCACAUUGUAGGAUUUUUUAUGAAUUUAUUUGCAAAUUAUGGUGGAAAAUAAGUAUUUGGUCAAUAACAAAUGUUUAUCUCAAUA